UAGGGAACAUUAGUAAUGGGCGAAAGCCUGAACUAGCAACACCGCGUGUGCGAAGAAGGCCUUCGGGUUGUAAAGCACUUUUCGGGGGGAUGAGGAAGGACGGUACUCCCGGAAUAAGUCUCGGCUAACUACGUGCCAGCAGCCGCGGUAAAACGUAGGAGGCAAACGUUAUCCGGAUUUACUGGGCGUAAAGCGCGAGUAGGUGGUUUGGUAAGUAGGGCGUGAAAGCUCCUGGCUCAACUGGGAGAGGUCGUUCUAAACUGCCGAGCUAGAGGAUGGUAGAGGGAGGUGGAAUUCCGGGUGUAGCGGUGGAAUGCGCAGAUAUCCGGAGGAACACCAGUGGCGAAAGCGGCCUCCUGGACCACUCCUGACACUCAGACGCGAAAGCUAGGGUAGCAAACGG
rnacentral:rRNA from 1 species